rnacentral:tRNA from 1 species
AAGAUUUUAAGUUAAAUAAACUGUAGGCCUUCAAAGCCUAAAAUAAAAAAUGAUUUUUAAAUCUUG